rnacentral:rRNA from 1 species
GAUGAACGCUGGCGGCGUGCCUAAUACAUGCAAGUCGAGCGAACAGACGAGGAGCUUGCUCCUCUGACGUUAGCGGCGGACGGGUGAGUAACACGUGGAUAACCUACCUAUAAGACUGGGAUAACUUCGGGAAACCGGAGCUAAUACCGGAUAAUAUAUUGAACCGCAUGGUUCAAUAGUGAAAGACGGUUUUGCUGUCACUUAUAGAUGGAUCCGCGCCGCAUUAGCUAGUUGGUAAGGUAACGGCUUACCAAGGCGACGAUGCGUAGCCGACCUGCGAGGGUGAUCGGCCACACUGGAACUGAGACACGGUCCAGACGCCUACGGGAGGCAGCAGUAGGGAAUCUUCCGCAAUGGGCGAAAGCCUGACGGAGCAACGCCGCGUGAGUGAUGAAGGUCUUCGGAUCGUAAAACUCUGUUAUUAGGGAAGAACAAAUGUGUAAGUAACUAUGCACGUCUUGACGGUACCUAAUCAGAAAGCCACGGCUAACUACGUG